rnacentral:rRNA from 1 species
CCUACGGGAGACAGCAGUGAGGAAUAUUGGUCAAUGGGCGGGAGCCUGAACCAGCCAAGUCGCGUGAGGGAAGACGGUCCUAUGGAUUGUAAACCUCUUUAGGCGGGGAGCAAUGCCGGGCACGUGUGCCCGGAGGGAGAGUACCCGCCGAAUAAGCAUCGGCUAACUCCGUGCCAGCAGCCGCGGUAAUACGGAGGAUGCGAGCGGUAUCCGGAUUUAUUGGGUUUAAAGGGUAGGUUGGCGGAUUUUUAAGUCAGCGGUAAAAUGUCCGGGCUCAACCCGGGCCGGCCGUUGAAAGUGGGGAUCUUGAGUGGGCGAGAGGAAUGCGGAAUGCGUGGUGUAGCGGUGAAAUGCGUAGAUAUCACGAAGAACUCCGAUUGCGAAGGCAGCAUACCGGCGUCCGACUGACGCUGAGGCACGAAAGCGUGGGGAUCGAACAGGAUUAGAUACCCCUGUAGUC